rnacentral:rRNA from 1 species
GAUGAACGCUGGCGGCGUGCCUAACACAUGCAAGUCGAGCGAAGCGCCUUACUUGAUUUCUUCGGGAUGAAAGUAUUGUGACUGAGCGGCGGACGGGUGAGUAACGCGUGGAUAACCUGCCUCAUACAGGGGGAUAACAGUUAGAAAUGACUGCUAAUACCGCAUACGAUCUGAGGAUGAAAGCGGGGGACCUUCGGGCCUCGCGCGAUUGGAGCGGCCGAUGGCAGAUUAGGUAGUUGGUGGGAUAAAAGCUUACCAAGCCGACGAUCUGUAGCUGGUCUGAGAGGACGACCAGCCACACUGGGACUGAGACACGGCCCAG